rnacentral:rRNA from 1 species
AACGAACGCUGGCGGCGUGCCUAACACAUGCAAGUCGAACGUGAUUGGAAGCUUGCUUCCAUGAAAGUGGCGCACGGGUGAGUAACGCGUAGAUAAUCUACCUGAUGGAUCGGGAUAACACUUCGAAAGGGGUGCUAAUACCGGAUAAGCCCACGGAGUCCUUGGACACUGCGGGAAAAGGAGGGGACCUUCGGGCCUUCCGUCAUCGGAUGAGUCUGCGUACCAUUAGCUAGUUGGUAGGGUAAAGGCCUACCAAGGCGACGAUGGUUAGCUGGGCUGAGAGGAUGAUCAGCCACACUGGAACUGAGAAACGGUCCAGACUCCUACGGGAGGCAGCAGUGGGGAAUUUUGCGCAAUGGGGGAAACCCUGACGCAGCAACGCCGCGUGAGUGAUGAAGGCCCUUGGGUCGUAAAGCUCUGACAGAGGGAAAGAAAUGUGGGUGGCUAAUAUCCAUUCCACUUGACGGUACCCUCAAAGGAAGCACCGGCUAACUCCGUGCCAGCCGCCGCAGUAAUAC